rnacentral:rRNA from 1 species
AGUGAACGCUGGCGGUAGGCCUAACACAUGCAAGUCGAACGGCAGCACAGUAAGAGCUUGCUCUUACGGGUGGCGAGUGGCGGACGGGUGAGGAAUACAUCGGAAUCUACUUUUUCGUGGGGGAUAACGUAGGGAAACUUACGCUAAUACCGCAUACGACCUACGGGUGAAAGCAGGGGAUCUUCGGACCUUGCGCGAUUGAAUGAGCCGAUGGCGGAUUAGCUAGUUGGCGGGGUAAAGGCCCACCAAGGCGACGAUCCGUAGCUGGUCUGAGAGGAUGAUCAGCCACACUGGAACUGAGACACGGUCCAGACUCCUACGGGAGGCAGCAGUGGGGGAUAUUGGACAAUGGGCGCAAGCCUGAUCCAGCCAUACCGCGUGGGUGAAGAAGGCCUUCGGGUUGUAAAGCCCUUUUGUUGGGAAAGAAAAGCAGCAGGUUAAUACCCCGCUGUUCUGACGGUACCCAAAGAAUAAGCACCGGCUAACUUCGUG